rnacentral:rRNA from 1 species
AAUUUUAUUUAAGGUCUGACCUGCCCUAUGAGAAAUUAAAUGGCCGCGGUAUUUUAACCGUGCAAAGGUAGCAUAGUCACUUGUCUCUUAAUUGGAGGCUUGAAUGAAGGGUUGGACGAGAUAUAAACUUUCUUUAUUAUAUAUAGUUGAAUUUGACUUUUGAGUCAAAAGGCUUAGAUUUAUUUAUAGGACGAGAAGACCCUAUAGAAUUUUAUAUUUUUAUUUAAUUAACCUAUUUSUUAAUAAUUGGGUUUUUUUAAUAUAAGUAUUUUGUUGGGGCGAUGGGAAGAUUUUUUUAACUCU